GACGGUAUCGCUCAGCGGUAGAGUGAAUGCUUACCAUGCACAAGGUCCCGGGUUCAAUUCCCAGUACCUCCA
rnacentral:tRNA from 1 species